UACGUAGGGUGCGAGCGUUGUCCGGAAUUAUUGGGCGUAAAGGGCUCGUAGGCGGUCUGUUACGUCGGGAGUGAAAACUCGGGGCUCAACCCCGAGCCUGCUUCCGAUACGGGCAGACUAGAGGUAUGCAGGGGAGAAUGGAAUUCCUGGUGUAGCGGUGAAAUGCGUAGAUAUCUGGAGGAACACCGGUGGCGAAGGCGGCAUCCUGGACCGGCAUUGACGCUGAGGCGCGAAAGCGUGGGGAGCAAACAGG
rnacentral:rRNA from 1 species